rnacentral:rRNA from 1 species
UAGUCAUAUGCUUGUCUCAAAGAUUAAGCCAUGCAAGUCUAAGUACGAGCUCUCGUACAGUGAAACUGCGAAUGGCUCAUUAAAUCAGUUAUGGUUCAUUUGAUCGUACGUUUUACGUGGUUAACUGUGGAAAUGCUAGAGCUAAUACAUGCGUGAAGCGCCGACCUCGCGGGAGGCGUGCUUUUAUCAGACCAAAAACCGACCGGGCUUCGGCCCGCAACCUUUGGUGACUCUGGAUAACUUUGCGGAUCGCACGGUCUCGCACCGGCGACGGAUCAUUCAAGUGUCUGCCCUAUCAACUUUCGUCGGUACGGUACUGGCCUACCGAGGUUCUUACGGGUAACGGAGAAUCAGGGUUCGAUUCCGGAGAGGGAGCCUGAGAAACGGCUACCACAUCCAAGGAAGGCAGCAGGCGCGCAAAUUACCCAUUCCCGACGCGGGGAGGUAGUGACGAAAAAUAACAAUACAGGACUCUAAACGAGGCCCUGUAAUUGGAAUGAGUACACUUUAAAACCUUUAACGAGUAUCCAUUGGAGGGCAAGUCUGGUG